GCCGACCGUCCGCGCCCGGAUACUUCACGCGCGCCACCCCCUCGCGUGUAUCCGGACAGCAAUACGAUUUCGCUGUUUUGGCGUCGGAUGAAUUGCCCUUUAAUUCCGGUGCAUACCAGCCGGGUCCCGUGUAAAAAAGCCCGCUGUACUAGUUGGUUCCCGGAACAAAAACGUUUUCCUCGCCGUUUUUAAAGACUUAGGACCGUCUAAUAACAUCUAAAUCUAACAAAUUCGUAGCAAUUCAUUUUUCCCAAUAUUUUUCCCUUGUGUACUACACCACAGUUUCUUCUUCUUCCCUCUGGAAAUAUAUUUGUGUGAGCAGAAUAAAACAUUGAACUGAAGUGUUAGUGAUGGGAUUCACACGCGUUUGUAGUUCUAAUUGUACUGGGCUUAAAUUAAGAUCAAUAAUUUUGGAGGGAACUUUGCGUCAGGACGUGAUCCAUAUUGUGUUCGUACUUGAUAUUAUUACUACGGUACAAUAAAUAAUUAUACACGGUUCCGAUUCGAACCCAGCAUUUUACACGAUUCGGACGAAAUAUCUUUUUUCGUGAUAACGACUGAUAACCAGAAUAUUCUUGGGACCGUUCUCACCGACACAAACACAGAUUUCUAAACUGAAUAUACGGCCGAUACCCGAUCGCGAUUAGUCGGUUUUCUUAUAAAGUCCGUUUAAAAAU